rnacentral:lncRNA from 1 species
CUGUCUGAGGUCCCAUGGGUAGUUAUCUUCAUCCCACCGUUUGGAAUCCCGGAAAUGUGUGAACCCAGGCAGUCGGCUGCAAUGAGUGAACACAGUUACCACUUAGGAGAGAGAAAAAGAGGCCCAUCAGAUGCCUCAACUCUCUCCUGACUGCUAGCUGAAAGGGUUAGGAAGUGCAGGAAUGGGCCGUCUUGAUUUUGUCUCCUUUCAGAAAUCUAGACAGCUUGCCUAGAAGGAGGUAAUUAACAGCAUAUCCAGUGGGACAUCAUUGAAGAGACACACCUGUGGCAUACACCCUACAGGAGAUUACAACAGAGGGAACCAAAGCUCCCAGAAGUUAACUAGUGCUUUUGUCCCUGGACUUCAAGACUUCACCUAUAAAAAUAUAGCACAAGCUUGGCUUCCAUUUAUAAAGUGUAAGACCUUCAUAUUUUAAGCAUAUAAAACACUUAAUGUUUCAAUUAUUAAGGAUGAUAGACUGCUUUCUGAGAAUUUUUUAAUAUUAUAUUAUAGAUAAUAGUUGUUUAUCCAUCAGUGCCCCAAUAGACUUUGAACUUUUGAGGACCAGAUGAUAUUUAUCUUUGAAUAUUCAGCUUGCUAUAGUGCCUAGCAUAUGAAAGGCAGUAAAAUGUGUCCUGAUCUACUGGCUGAAUGAAUACAUGACUGAAUGUAAUCAAUGUAUAACUCAGCUACCUAAAGGCUUACUGUGAGGGUGAAUUUUAUGUGUCAACUUGACUGACCAACUGAGUGCCCAGAUAAUUUGGUUUAAACAUGACCUCUGGAUGUGUCUGUGAGGCCGUUUCUAAAUGAGAUUAACAUUGGAAUCAAUAGGCUGAGUAAAGUAGAUUGCUCUCUCCAAAUGAGUGGUCUCCAUCCAAUGCACCGAAGGCUUGAAUAGAAGAAAAGACUGAGUUUAAACAAAGUCCUUCUUUGUACUGACUGUCUUUGACCUGGGACAUAGGUCAUCUCUUGCCUCAGACUCAGACUUGAACUUUGACUGAAACUUACACUGUCAGCUCUCCUGGUUCACAGGUCUUCAAACCAGGGCUACAAAUAUACCAUUGGUUCUUUUGGGUCUGGGCUUUGUAGCUUCAAUAAUUAUGUGAGCCAUUUUUUAAUAAUAUCGAGUAGAAGAGAUU